rnacentral:rRNA from 1 species
CACGUAGGGGGGCAAGCGUUGUCCGGAUUCAUUGGGCGUAAAGGGUGCGUAGGUGGCGUCGUAAGUCGGGUGUGGAAUCUCGGGGCUUAACUCCGAAACUGCAUUCGAUACUGCGGUGCUUGAGGACUGGAGAGGAGACUGGAAUUUACGGUGUAGCAGUGAAAUGCGUAGAGAUCGUAAGGAAGACCAGUGGCGAAGGCGGGUCUCUGGACAGUUCCUGACACUGAGGCACGAAGGCCAGGGGAGCAAACGGG